AGUGAACGUUGGCGGCGUGGAUUAGGCAUGCAAGUCGUGCGGAAAGGCCCCGCAAGGGGUACUCGAGCGGCGAAAGGGAGAGUAACGCGUAGACUAUCUACCUCUAGGCCCGGGAUAGCCGGGGGAAACCCCGGGUAAUACCGGAUAAUGUCUCCGGACCAAAGGUGUGAUUCCGCCUGGAGACGAGUCUGCGUCCUAUCAGCUUGUUGGUGAGGUAACGGCUCACCAAGGCGACGACGGGUACGAGGCGUGAGAGCGUGUCCUCGCUCACUGGGACUGAGACACUGCCCAGACACCUACGGGUGGCUGCAGUCGAGAAUCUUCGUCAAUGGGCGCAAGCCUGAACGAGCGACGCCGUGUGCGGGAUGAAGGCCUUCGGGUUGUAAACCGCUGUCAGAGGGGAUGAAAUGCCGGUGGGUUCUCCCUCCGGUUUGACAGAUCCUCAGAGGUAGUACGGGCUAAGUUCGUGCCAGCCGCCGCAGUAAGAC
rnacentral:rRNA from 1 species